GCCCCGCUGCAGGAACCGCUGCCGUGGGGCUGUUACGGGCGCUGCCCGCCCCGCGGCCCGACGGCUGCCACGUCCGGGGCUUGUGGAAUCCCAGCGUGGCUUUGGUUGGCAGGGAGCUUAAAUUCCAUCCCAUUCCACCCCCUGUCGUGGCAGGGGCGCCUUCCACUAGACCAGGGUGCUCCAAGCCCCAGUGUCCAUCCUGGCCUGGGAAACUUCCAGGGAUCCAGGGGCAGCCGCAGCUGCUCUGCGCCAGGGCCUCAUCCUCCCUCUCACAGCCAAGAAUUUCUUCUCAAUAUCCAAAUAAAGUCCUCCCAUUCCCAGCUUAAAGCCAUUCCCUGUGUCCUGUCCCUCCAUCCCUUGUCCCCAGUCCCUCUCCAGCUCUCCUGGAGCCCCUUCAGGCCCUGCCAGGGGCUCUGAGCUCUCCCUGGAGCCUUCUCCUCUCCAGGGGAACAUUCCCAGCUCUCCCAGCCUGGAGCAGAUUUCCAGCUCUUGGACCAUCUUUGUGCCUAUUCUGACCCUGUUCCAGCAGACCUUUGUUGUGGAGGGAGAAGUGCAGGCUGAGCUUUCCGUCUUUCACACCAGAGGCUGGGAUACUUCCCGAGAGACUCGGGAAGGAAAAGGAGGAGGAAGACGAGGAGGAUGUAGGACUGAUCUCUGAUCUGGAUUGCAGCCUUGCAGCCACAUCGUGUAAUCCUUCUCAUGGGCUAAUCAGGUCGCAGCCUUAAAAGGAAUGUUAAGUGGUUUUACAUAAGGCAUUACGUGGGUUUGGAGAAUGUGAUCUGUUUGUGCUGCAGUCUGAGGAGGAAGAACAGCCAUGGUUGUUUUAACGAGACACCGAGGAGCACCAGGUAACAGUGGCUGCAGAGCUGGAGGGAUUUCUAACUGAAAAAAGAUAAUAAAGGUAGUUUUAAAAGCAGUGAAAAUACUUCAACUCUGGUGGUUUUUUUGACUACUAAAAUAUCUUUAAUUUUACACAGUCUAACAAACUCACGUGGAAGGCAUUCAUAACUGCUGCAGCACC